UACGGAGGGUGCAGGCGUUAAUCGGAAUUACUGGGCGUAAAGCGCACGCAGGUGGCUGAGUCAGUCGAUUGUGAAAGCCCUGGGCUUAACCUGGGAAUUGCAGUCGAUACUACUCGGCUCGAGUAUGGGAGAGGGCAGUGGAAUUCCCGGUGUAGCGGUGAAAUGCGUAGAUAUCGGGAGGAACAUCAGUGGCGAAGGCGGCUGCCUGGCCCAAUACUGACACUCAGGUGCGACAGCGUGGGGAGCAAACAGG
rnacentral:rRNA from 1 species